UAAAAUCAUAAGCUUCUUCACUCAGAAUCUAAAACAAGCAUUAUUUUAAGUGUACACUAAAAGAUAUGAAAAUUUUAAAAUCAUCAAAAAAUUUAUGAUUUAUGUUUAGGUAUUCCUUAUCUCUUCCCGAAAACUGAGGUCUCUGGACUGAAAUAUUUCGUAUAACCUUUAAAAGGAAACACACUGUAUGUUUUUCUGAAUGUUAGGUACACUGGUGUUUAGGUAUGUUCAGAUUUUUAUCUCCUAAAGAAGAACAGAUUUUCCAGAUAGUACCCGAAUUACCGUUUUCAUUGUCUUCAAAAUUGUAAUACCAAAUAUUCAUAUUACUCAUUUAAUUUAUUGUUAAAUUGCACGGGCUGUUUCAUGAAUGAUUCAUGGGUCUGCUCCACGAACAAUUAAUGAAAUACAGGAAACAUGAACAAAUUUUUAUUUUGUUAAUUCUUAAAAUGCAAAUUUAUAAUUUAUUGAAUUUCUUUUUAAAAAUAUAUACUUCAUAUUUAAUUAACUUAAUUUUAUUUAUAUAUAAAAAAAACUGAAGUAAAAACCAAAUGUUAAUUUUUAUAUCAUCAAUGACCUUUACGACUUUACUCAUCCAUGAAAGAACUUCAAUGUUUACUGUUAAUUAAUUAUUCUUUAUUUAUUAAAGUGAUUUUUACCUAUUAUUCAUUUUUUGUAUAAUAUUCUCUUUGUACCUGUGUUAAUGAAUUUUUAAUUUUUAUGAUCUGUCUCAAAUAACAGGAAAUUGCCUACCUACUAAGAUAAUAUAUCUGUGUGGUUUAUAGUAUUAUGUUUUUUCAAAUUACUUGGAAAAAACACAUCACUUGAGGUAGAUACUAAGAAGUUAGGUAUACAUCAAAAUAUUAUAAAUUAUAAAGUACCUUAUUAAUAUAAAUUAUCUACCUAUAUAUUUUUAACAGAUUGACGGACACUUGUAAUAUAAUUUUUAUUGUUAUAUUAAGAGUGCUAUACCUACAUCUAAAGUCUAUGUAAAUUUUUAGCGUGGACUAAUGUGGCAGUCCACUGUCUUCUAUGAUUUGUUACCACUGAAAAAAUUACUGCUUCAGCAGUAUUGACGUAAUAUGACAUUUUACAUAUUUCUGCUAUAGCAGUAAUGUUCGUCGAUGUGUUAAUAUUAUUAUUUUUUUAAUUCAAUAAUAAAUUAAUGUACUAUUUACUAAAAAAAAUGUUGUAGUAAUGAACUUUAAUUAUGAUUAUUAUCAAUUAUGAAUAAUAGUUAGUGUGGUGAAAACGUAUACUAUAGUUACUUAUAUGAUGUUUCUACCUACAUAAUAUACACUCUUAACUCUCAAUCUCUUACUCAGAAUGCCCUCAGCUUUCUUUUCUAAAAUGUUUGCAUGUGUAUAUGACCAUUUUGAUUCUGUUGUGGUGCCCCAGUGGUCGAAAACAGCACUCACUAUUUACAAAGAAAACAUU